rnacentral:rRNA from 1 species
AUUGAACGCUGGCGGCAGGCCUAACACAUGCAAGUCGAGCGGAUGAAGGGAGCUUGCUCCUGGAUUCAGCGGCGGACGGGUGAGUAAUGCCUAGGAAUCUGCCUGGUAGUGGGGGAUAACGUCCGGAAACGGGCGCUAAUACCGCAUACGUCCUGAGGGAGAAAGUGGGGGAUCUUCGGACCUCACGCUAUCAGAUGAGCCUAGGUCGGAUUAGCUAGUUGGUGGGGUAAAGGCCUACCAAGGCGACGAUCCGUAACUGGUCUGAGAGGAUGAUCAGUCACACUGGAACUGAGACACGGUCCAGACUCCUACGGGAGGCAGCAGUGGGGAAUAUUGGACAAUGGGCGAAAGCCUGAUCCAGCCAUGCCGCGUGUGUGAAGAGGGUCUUCGGAUUGUAAAGCACUUUAGGUUGGGAGGAAGGGCAGUAAGUUAAUACCUUGCUGUUUUGACGUUACCAACAGAAUAAGCACCGGCUAACUUCGUG